rnacentral:rRNA from 1 species
UUUCCCGCCGGCGACCGGCGCACGGGUGAGUAACACGUAUGCAACCUGGCCGUGACAGAUGGAUAACCGGGAGAAAUCCCGCCUAAUACAGCAUGACGCCGGGAAGGGACAUCCCUUUCCGGCCAAAGGGGGCGACUCCGGUCACGGAUGGGCAUGCGGCGCAUUAGGUAGUUGGUGGGGCAACGGCCCACCAAGCCGACGAUGCGUAGGGGUUCUGAGAGGAAGGUCCCCCACAUUGGAACUGAGACACGGUCCAAACUCCUACGGAAGGCAGCAG